AAAAAUGUAAAUACCUUUAUUAUAAAACAAAUUCCACCUGUUAUUGAUGAUCCUAAAUGGGAAUCUUAUCCCAUUAAAUUUCAUGGAUAUUAUGAUUUAUUAGAAGAAGCUAGACAGAGAGCAACAAACUAUUCUUCAAAUAAGGAAAGCAAUAUAAAUGAAAUAAAGAAGUCCGCACAAGACAGUUGAAUAAAACUGUUUCUCACGAUGAGUCAGAAUCUGAUUCUGAUGACUCACGUUUAGUUAUACCAAAUCCACCAAAUCUUACUGUAAAUACAAAUGCCUCGCAAUCAAUUAACAAAAGUCAAUCUAUCGCAACUGUUAUUAAUUCAUCAGUUGUCAGCAAUGAUAUUGACCUGGAGAUUCUUGAUGGAAUUUUAGUAUCACUUAAAAGUAUACAGGAUGUACAUACGUUAAUAUCAGAUGGAUUCGAAAAAAUGGAAGGUCAUUUUAAGAAUAUAUAUACAGCUAUAACUACAGUUACAUUAGGAAUACAAGAAUGAAUACUAAAUGUUCA